rnacentral:lncRNA from 10 species
UGUCCCCAUGUGGAUCUCUCUCAUCCUGGGAUGCUGAAGUGGAAAAGGACCUGGCUGCCACGGUGGUAGGGAGGGCAUGAAAAGGGAAGAGAUUAGAAGGGGAGGAUGGGAGAGAAGGGCCAGAGAGGAUGGAAAGGAAGGUCGGGGGAAAGGACCGGGAAAGAGGGGAGCGGGGAGCGAGGGGCGGGGGAGGGGCGCCUGCCUGCGCACAGCAGAUGUUGCCGCUCCUCGGAUGGAGCUGUUAAUGUAAGUGGAGUUUCUGCAAUGGUAAUUAGGAGGGCCCUCAUUACCCUGGCGGAGCCGGCUGAGAGCCGAUAAAGCCGAGGGGGAGAAGGGCCGACAUCAGGGUAAUGGGGGAGCAGGGCCAUUGAGGAGCUGGAGCCGAGCCGGGGACCGCUCCGCGCGCAGCUGGAGCCCGGCGAGAGGGCCGCGGAAGGGGGGUGCGAACCGGGGCCGGACCCCGGGGAGGAGCCGGGAGGCGAGCGGCGAGGGGCACUGCGCGGCUGGGUCUGCCCCGGGGUUUCGCACUGCGCCGCGGGUCGAAGUACCGCGAGUUGGCCGCCUAAACUCAGGUGGCCAGACAGAGUUGGGGCGGGAGGCGGGUAUACGGAAAGGACACCCUUCCCCUCUAUGGGCCCCGCCCGCUGUGCAAGGGUGGGGAACUAGCACCCUCGUCCAGCGUCUAGCGUGACCAAGACAUGUACUGUAGAAUAGCCAACACAAGAGUUGACGGCUCCAGAAUGUCAGAUCACAGACGAGAAGACCAGCCUUCAGGGUUGGAGGUAGAAGCCUCUUGACUCUUUGGAUUGAAAGGAGACCAGUCACCCCUCCUGGGAGGACUCUCCCACCCAUCCUCCCCUACAUAGUAACCUCUCAGCCCUAGAGGAGCUACAAGAAAAGCGAAUUGGAGAAGCUCAUCCAAGCAGUCCUAAGUACCUUGCUUCCAUGCAGGGCUUUGCAGGAAGAGGAAGGGAGGCAGGGAAGGGUACGGUGACAGCUGUAGACAUCACCUGCAGCUCUGCUCCCCGGCCAGGAACCCAGGAGGCCCUCCCAGACCCCCAGAAUGGGGUUCUGGGGUGGGCAACUCAUUUGCCAUCUAUCCUCCCCACACCUGAAUAUUUUAGGAUGGGCCUCCAGCGCUUUCCAGGCUAACUCAGCGAGCCCAGUCUUCUUAGUCAACUGAGAGACAUGUCUACAGAACAGACCAUGUGGCCAACUCCUCCUCCUCCCCAUGCCCCAGGCAAGAGGACUCUGGGAAGACAUCCAGGAAGCAAGGAGUCUGUAGCCAGGUCAGAGAGAGAGGAGCUGUGGGGGUCUGUACAGACCACCUCCAGCAGAGAACCCAUCCUCCAUUUUCAUCCCCUCUUCACAUCCCUCCACCCACAGCUGCCUUCAGAAGCCCAAGGUCAUUGGCCCUGCCACUCUGGUUUGCCAACUCCUCAAGGACCACAUAGGCCCAACUGUUAUGGAAAGGGUGGACCAGAGAGAGGGGCUUCUUUUCCUUCGGCUUUGGGGAAGGCAAAGGCAAUUCCUGCCACUGCCCACUCCAGAGACGGCCGCAUCUUCCAGGUGACUAAAGGCAAGUGAUGGUUCUGAGGAGACCAGGAC